rfam:Nitrosococcus oceani ATCC 19707, complete genome.
GGGGCCAUAGCUCAGCUGGGAGAGCACCUGCUUUGCAAGCAGGGGGUCGGCGGUUCGAUCCCGCCUGGCUCCA